CUCCCAAAGUGCUGGGGUUACAGGCGUGAGCCACCGCGCUUGUCCGGAAUUCUUCUUUAAAUGGAGUGUUAUGGGAUAUAGUAAUGUUGAAAUAAAGUCUGGAUCUGUCUUUUAUGAUUAAUAACAAUUUGUUCCCUCUAUGAGGCAUUAAUCCCAUAUUAUGGUCUCUAUAUAUUUAGUCAGAACAUCUUUCUCAGGCUAGAUUGUGCUAAUUCUAGAAAUCUAGAGCAAUUGUUUUUAACAUAUGAUACAUGGAAGUUUUUUAGCUGGUAUACUGGCUUUUCUUAAUAGUUAUCUAAGAUUUUGGAAGCACAUUUGUUACUAAUAGUAACAAUACUGUAAUAUAGCAAUGACAUCUUAAUCUUACAAAUAAAGGUGGGGUUUUGGUGUCUGAUAUGUAUCUUGAGUACAGUUAUUGGUGGAACGUGGGAAGCUGUGAGCCACUUCAUCUAGAGAAUCUGUUUAGGGUUUUGAGACUUCUGACAUGUUGUCAUCUCUAGGCGGGUUCUAAUCAAAUCUCAACUGUAUUAUUUUUGCCUUCUCUACUACCAUUUGAAGAUUAGAAACCGAUCUAGUCUUGAAACUGAUUGCUUUAGCCAAAGCUUCAUUCCUGGUGGAAUGGGCUACAGAUGGCUUCUAGGCAUGUUUCAUCUGGCUGAGGACUUUGCUAUUUGGUGAUAUUGAUAGUAUUUAUCUGAUGUUAGCACUGCCUAAUGCUCUUGAGUGAUUCAUGGUUAGCAGCUUAACCGUGAUUUGUAGUGACAUGUAGCAUCCUGUAUGAGGAGAAGGAAAUUUGGUGUGUUUUAUUAGCGCUUACCACAGGAGGUUUAUUUAUUUAUUUAUGUUUAUAGUUUUAAGGGCCUGGAAUGAGGAAAGUCCAAUAUGUUCUUUUUCUUCAGUGAGACAAAUUAGGACUUUUCUUUUUGACUGAUUACUUCAGUCUUAUUUAUUGCUUCAUGGAUACAGCUCAAUAAAUUUUCACCACUAGAUAACUGUGAAGAAGCUGUUUUAGGAACUGAAAAGUGUUUCAUUCCAAAGAUACAGCCUCUUAUAUGUAAUGGCAUUCUAGCUCCUAAUCCGCUUCUAAGCUAAACCUGCUCUAAUGCGUUGCAAGGGAAAUACAGAUGUCAAGAACCAAAGUCUUUCUUCCAUUAGAACCAUUCUUUUUCUGAGGAGAGUCAGUGACAAUCCUUGCUAUAUUUAUUUUUCUUUCUUUUCUUAGCUGUAAGAGACAUAGAACUUCCACCGCCUCACAGGUCUCUAUGAUAUAAACAUGGUAUUUCAACUGAUCAGAUUGCCUCAAGUUAAAGUAAGGCACUCUCUAAUUUUAUUAAGGAUUUUUAUUUAGGGGGAAAUCAGUUGAAUUCUUAAUUGAUAAGUAACUCUAUUACUAUUUAGUGAGUUUUUUGGUACAAUUUUAGCUUAAUUUAUUUUUUAAUUAUCUCUAAGAUUUUAACCUGAUAUACCUUCUCUGUUUUAUUUAAUUUUUUCAGUUGCAGCUCUCCGUUUCAGAAAAACCUUUAUGAUAUUUUUAUAAGACUGAAAAUGUACAAGGUUGUUCUUUAGAGGGUGUCUGAGUCUUUUUUUUUUUUUUUUUUCUGCUAUAACAAUACUGGAGACUGAGUAAUUU